AUAAAGUCAGACUGUUGUAGUAGGAGUAUAUGGGGAUUGAGAUUGUUUAGUUUUUUCUUUGAGAACUUCGAUUGUCCACUAAUGGAAAGCUAUAUUUAAAUUUAAAUGACAGAACAGCCUGAAGGAUUGUGCUGAGUUUGGUGGAUAUAGUUUGUUCAAUAACAGUAUGUUGGCUUUAAUGAGGUGGAUUCCUUAAGGAAUCUCUUCUGAGAAGAACUUCUUAUUUACUGAUUGCAAGACACAUUUUCCAACGUCUCCCACUAUCUCUCCCUGUCUCUCUCUCUCUCUCUCAACACACACACACACCAAGGUUUUCUCCGAAGUCUUUCCCCUCCCUCCAUCUGGCGAUCGGCCACCCCUCCUUCAGCUGCUGAUGGUCCUGCUGUAGGCAGUCUGAUCAUUCUCCUUAGUGAGAGGACAGCACACACUCCUUUACAACCAGCCUCUGUCACUCACAUACACUCCUGUCUCAUUCUGACAAUAUGUUUAAAACUGGAUAUACCCCAAGCAGCACACCCUUCUGGAGCAUUUGAACUAUUUGAGCACUCGAUUCAGGAGAAGGAAGGUCAAUCAGCACUGAGGUAUGAGUUGUGCUUGAAUAAGCCUUCAAGGAGGGGAUUCUUCCUCUCGACACUGAAAUCUACUGAAGUUUUGGACGUCAACGAUGAGUCUUAAGAAGAGGAAACCAAGCAUGGUGUUCAGCUGGCACAAGUCUUUCACCAUCCUUGCACCGUGGAGAAAAGGUAAAAGGGAUAUUGUUUUAGACAAUGAGGUUGUACUGACAAAAAUGAAGCACCUCAACAACUUCCCUGAGAAACUCCUUAAUGUUGAGGAUUCCAUUUCAACAAUCUCCAUUUCAAUGUCUGAGCAGGAUAACACAGAACCUCUCCAGGCUGAUGAGGUGAUCUCCGUCCACAGUGCUGCUCCUGAGACAACUAUCUCGGAAUCCAAAAAAGACUAUCUAUCGUCAAUUUUUGCCAAUUCUGAGCUUCCAAGAUUGUACAAAUUUGAAUCUGAUGACUCUGGGGUAGAGAUGACUAGUGGAGCAACUUCUCCAUCCACCCCAACUGAUUCAGAGCAAAGCUUUGUGGUCCACAGUAGAGAGUCUUCAUGUGACUCUGGUAGCCUGAACUCUCCUGUAUCUGCUGACAAUCCUCUUGAAGACAGUUCAGUCUUCUUGGAAAUUGAACAAACAUCUUGCAAAUGUGCUAAACAAGACCCUCUUACCAUCCUGGGAGACAGAACAGAGGAUGAGAAUGUUGAUGAUGAUUUAAUAGACAUCACAGCAGAUUCAGAGAGGUCUGAGGACAGAACCCUGAGGAACACCAUGGAGAACUUUAAGGAUCAAUUUGAAAUCAUGGCAGCACAGGAGGAAAUAACAGACACUGCAGUGUCUGAGGACACAAUGUCAAGGAACCAGUGUUCUACAGAAGCUUAUGACGGCAAAACAGGACCUGAAUUUCAGCAACAACCUUUGAGGAAAAGUACAACCAGCGACAGUCUGGAUGAAUACAUGGAAGAGUGCUGCAGGCUAAGUGAGGUGAACCGAGCCAAUCAGUCCAACCCUCUGGGCUCAGGACUGGGGUACCUAGAGCACAUCUGCCAACUCAUAGAGAAGAUCGGACAGCUACAGGAACACAACCUUCGACUACAGAAACAGAUCUGUGGCCUGCAGAAGGAAGGCAGAGUGAUCAAGACUAAAGAGGACUUUUUUAUGCAGCACUGCAGCUGUGGAGCAGCCAACUUGGCCUUCCAAGAGCUCAAGAGACACUUUCGCAGUGACCACUACAGCCUGACGGCAUCAAACAGCACACUGUCUGACCUCAGCACAAUCCCUGAGGUCACACGCAUCCCCCUCAGUGCAGCCAUGAGAGAUGGUGACGUGGGCUGCCAACCUGCUCUUCCUGUUUGGAGGAGGGGUCUGAAUCGGAGGAGCUACACAGAGGGAGAGGCAAAGUACCUGAGUGACAGCGCAGAGGUCCUCUCUGCUCCGCACAGACGGUUGAGUGAGAACUAUACAUGGGGAAGAGUGAAGGAACUGGUGAAGAAGACCAAACUGAGGAACCAGAGCCGGCUGGGACUGUCUUCAGGCUCCCUGAAGAGAUCAUGUCCACAGCUUUACCGCCCAGAUGUGAUGUCAGCAGAACGGCCCAGGACAAACAGAAACUCCAUGAUCGCUCUGGGCCAUCAGAAACUGGACUAUCUGUGGCCACAGUAGUAUUAAUCAGACAUUGAGUAGACAGCCGGUGAUGGGGCAGCUUAUCCAAAAAGCAAAGGACAAAGGGGGGUUUUUGCAAUUUGCAGAUGGUUUUUCCAGACUGAGGAACAAGAUGGGAGUGAAAUACACAAGAAAACAAUGAACGGGAUUUGAAUAAUAAUAGAAAAAAGUUGGUGUAUAUAAUACUAAGAGAGAUAUUUAUAUGUUGAUGAUGAUGUUAAGUUGACCUGUUGAUGGAGCUUGUUUGUGUGGUGUGACGUUUCUAUAAAUGUCUUUAAUUCAGAUAAAGCACUCAUUAGAUUUGUCAGCUAAUGAGGUACUGUUAAAGACUAUAUAUACAUGGAAAAAUGAUUUACAGAAUGUGAUCAGACAAAGGGAAUUACAGUAAAUCCUUAUCUAUAGUCUAAUGUAAAUUUCUGCCAGGAAAAUUUACCAGACAAUGUCCUAAUUGUAAAAUACUUGAAAUACAUCCAAAUGAUAACAAAUGUUGAACAUGCAUGCUAUAACUUUUAUAGAUCGUUUUGUACCACUAUUAUAAGAACUGCCAUGUGUAAGUGUGUAUAUACAGACAGAACAAAUAUGCAUGUAUCCAUGAAGUAUGAAUCGUAUGUGCAGAUGAGAGUGGAUAAGAGGCGCUCCCACGUCUGAAUUCUUAUAUCUACAGACAUAUAUAUCGCUGUGAUGAUGGGGCUUAUGAUAACAUGUAAAUGACUUAUGGCAGUUCUGUAUGCAGCUCGCCUGUCUGAUGUUAUAUAUUGUGUGUGACCUUUUGCUUCCCUACAAAUUAAGCAAUGCCCAGAGUGUGAACCUGAAAUGUCAUCCUUAUAUAUGAAUUAAAAAGGGCUUUCUAUGUGCCUGCCAAAUAUCAGUCCAAAGACAUAAACACUGUUAAUUAAACAGAAUAAAAUGCAGGAUAAAAUGGUCA
ensembl:lncRNA